rnacentral:rRNA from 1 species
AUGCAUGUGUAAGUACAAGCCGAUGUAAGGUGAAACCGCGAAUGGCUCAUUAAAUCAGCUAUGUUUCAUUGGAUCUGUACACCCACUUACUUGGAUAACUGUGGUAAUUCUAGAGCUAAUACAUGCACACAGAGUCCCCGACCGCAAGGGAGGGGCGCUUUUAUUAGUUCAAAACCGGUCGGGCCUCGGUCCGUAACCCACCUGUGGUGAAUCUGAAUAACUUUGAGCUGAGCGCACGGUCUCCGCACUGGCGCCGCAUCUUUCAAGUGUCUGCCUUAUCAGCUUUCGAUUGUAGGUUAUUCGCCUACAAUGGCUAUAACGGGUAACGGGGAAUCAGGGUUCGAUUCCGGAGAGGGAGCCUGAGAAACGGCUACCACAUCUAAGGAAGGCAGCAGGCACGUAAAUUACCCAUUCCCAGACCGGGGAGGUAGUGACGAAAAAUAACGAUGCGAGACUCAUCCGAGGCCUCGCAAUCGGAAUGAGUACACUUUAAAUCCUUUAACGAGGACCCAUUGGAGGGCAAGUCUGGUGCCAGCAGCCGCGGUAAUUCCAGCUCCAAUAGCGUAUAUUAAAGUUGUUGCGGUUAAAAAGCUCGUAGUUGGAUUACAGUUCCGGACUGACGGUUCACCGCCCGGUGCUUACUGUCACGCUCCGAACAGCCUGAAACAUGGCCCCGCCGGCUCGCCCGGGGUGCUCUUUACCGAGUGUCCCGAGUGGCCGGCAUGUUUACUUUGAAAAAAUUAGAGUGCUCAGA